UACCAGCACCCCGAGUGGUCGGGACGAUUAUUGGGCCUAAAGCAUCCGUAGCCGGUCAUGCAAGUCUUCCGUUAAAUCCAGCCGCUCAACGGUUGGGCUGCGGAGGAUACUACGUGGCUAGGAGGCGGGAGAGGCAAGCGGUACUCAGUGGGUAGGGGUAAAAUCCUUUGAUCCAUUGAAGACCACCAGUGGCGAAGGCGGCUUGCCAGAACGCGCUCGACGGUGAGGGAUGAAAGCUGGGGGAGCAAUCCGG
rnacentral:rRNA from 1 species